AACUGAUGUCCAAUACUCAUUGGAUCUCUGAAACUUGCUUCUUUUGAUGCUUCUCUCAUUUGUUCUUUAGAAUCUUCUGAUAAUAGUCUGGCAACAGGCUUUAUCUUCUUAUCUGCCGUUUUAUAUCUCGUCUCUACUGUGACUUCUGGUGCUUGAAAAGAUUCAAGUAUGGUAUAAACCUCUCUUGAAUGAAUCUCAACAAUCUUAUCAUUAUCCCCUAACCCAAUAGAUGAAAUCAAUUCCAAUGAAUCUUCCAGUCCAUUUUCUUCAUAAACACCUAAAAUCCUCUCAUCAUCUUACAAUGUAUCUAACUUGCGUAAUUCUUCUUCAAUAUUAUAUAAUCUUUUUCUUUCUUUUCUUUUAAAAUCAUCAACUUUCUUAUACAUAAUAUUUCCAUUCUCCAAAAUAUCAAUAAAAUUCGCAUCAAAGGCACCUUCAUCUCGUGAGAGUA
rnacentral:lncRNA from 1 species